rnacentral:rRNA from 1 species
UACGGAGGGUGCAAGCGUUAUCCGGAUUCACUGGGUUUAAAGGGAGCGUAGGUGGGCUGGUAAGUCAGUGGUGAAAUCUCCGGGCUUAACUCGGAAACUGCCGUUGAUACUAUCAGUCUUGAAUAUUGUGGAGGUAAGCGGAAUAUGUCAUGUAGCGGUGAAAUGCUUAGAUAUGACAUAGAACACCAAUUGCGAAGGCAGCUGGCUACACAUAUAUUGACACUGAGGCACGAAAGCGUGGGGAUCAAACAGG